rnacentral:rRNA from 1 species
UACGAAGGGGGCUAGCGUUGUUCGGAAUCACUGGGCGUAAAGGGCGCGUAGGCGGCCGAUCAAGUCGGGGGUGAAAGCCUGUGGCUCAACCACAGAAUUGCCUUCGAUACUGUUUGGCUUGAGACCGGAAGAGGUUAGUGGAACUGCGAGUGUAGAGGUGAAAUUCGUAGAUAUUACGCAAGAACACCAGGUGGCGAAGGCGGCUGACUGGUCCGGUUCUGACGCUGAGGCGCGAAAGCGUGGGGAGCAAACAGG